rnacentral:rRNA from 1 species
CACCCGCAGCUCGAGUGGUGGUCACUUUUAUUGAGACUAAAGCGUUCGUAGCCGGUUUUGUAGAUCCUCAGACAAAUUCUCCUGCUUAACGGGAGAUACUCUGGAGAGCCUGCGAAACUAGGGACCGGGUGAGGUUGAAGGUACUUCUGGGGUAGGGGUAAAAUCCUGUAAUCCUGGAAGGACGACCAGUGGCGAAGGCGUUCAACUAGAACGGAUCCGACGGUGAGGAACGAGGGCUAGGGGAGCAAACCGG